CCUACGGGAGGCAGCAGUGGGGAAUAUUGCACAAUGGGGGAAACCCUGAUGCAGCGACGUCGCGUGCGUGAAGAAGUAUUUCGGUAUGUUAAGCUCUAUCAGUAGGGAAGUAAAUGACGUUACCUGACUAAGUAGCCCCGUCUAACUACGUGCCAGCAGCCGCGGUAAUACGUAGGGGGCAAGCGUUAUCCGGAUUUACUGGGUGUAAAGGGAGCGUAGACGGCAGAGCAAGUCUGAAGUGAAAGUCCGCGGCGCAACUGGGGGACUGCAUUGGAAACUGCCCGGCUAGAGUGCUGGAUAGGCAAGCGGAAUUCCUAGUGUAGCGGUGAAAUGCGUAGAUAUUAGGAGGAACACCAGUGGCGAAGGCGGCUUACUGCAGAGUAACUGACGUUGAGGCUCGAAAGCGUGGGGAGCAAACAGGAUUAGAUACCCGUGUAGUC
rnacentral:rRNA from 1 species